GACGAACGCUGGCGGCGUGCUUAACACAUGCAAGUCGAACGGAAAGGCCUCUUUCGGGGGGUACUCGAGUGGCGAACGGGUGAGUAACACGUGAGUAACCUGCCCUUGACUUUGGGAUAACCUCAGGAAACUGGGGCUAAUACCGGAUAGGAGCUCCUGCUGCAUGGUGGGGGUUGGAAAGUUUCGGCGGUUGGGGAUGGACUCGCGGCUUAUCAGCUUGUUGGUGGGGUAGUGGCUUACCAAGGCUUUGACGGGUAGCCGGCCUGAGAGGGUGACCGGCCACAUUGGGACUGAGAUACGGCCCAGACUCCUACGGGAGGCAGCAGUGGGGAAUAUUGCACAAUGGGUGGAAGCCUGACGCAGCAACGCCGUGUGCGGGAUGACGGCCUUCGGGUUGUAAACCGCUUUCGCUCAUGACGAAGCUUUGUGUGACGGUAGUGGGUAAAGAAGCACCGGCUAACUACGUG
rnacentral:rRNA from 1 species